AGAGUUUGAUCCUGGCUCAGAAUGAACGUUGGCGGCGUGGAUUAGGCAUGCAAGUCGAGCGCGAUAUUUUUGAAAGAUACUUCGGUUGAUUUCUUAAAUGGAAAGCGGCGAAAGGGAGAGUAACGAGUAGAUACGUACCCAGGGGUUCGGGAUAGCCAUGCGAAAGCGUGAGUAAUACCGAAUAAUGUCUCCGGACCAAAGAUUUAUUGCCCUUGGAGCGGUUUGCUUACUAUUAGCUUGUUGGUGGGGUAAAGGCCUACCAAGGCUUAGAUGGUUAGCGGGUGUGAGAGCAUGACCCGUCUCACUGGGACUGAGACACUGCCCAGACACCUACGGGUGGCUGCAGUCGAGAAUCUUCCGCAAUGGACGAAAGUCUGACGGAGCGACGCCGCGUGCUGGAUGAAGGCCCUCGGGUUGUAAACAGCUGUCGUAGGGGAGGAAAUUUUGACCGAUCCUAGGAGGAAGCACAGGCUAAGUUCGUGCCAGCAGCCGCGGUAAUACGAACUGUGCAAACGUUAUUCGGAAUCACUGGGCUUAAAGGGUGCGUAGGCGGACUUGUAGGUCAGAUGUGAAAUCCCACGGCUCAACCGUGGAAUUGCGUUUGAAACCACUCGUCUUGAGGGGAUCAGAGGAGAGCGGAACUGAUGGUGGAGCGGUGAAAUGCGUUGAUAUUAUCAGGAACACCGGUGGCGAAAGCGGCUCUCUGGGAUCUUUCUGACGCUGAGGCACGAAAGCUAGGGGAGCGAACGGGAUUAGAUACCCCGGUAGUCCUAGCUGUAAACGAUCUGUACUAGUCCGUGGGGACCCCCACAUCUUCUCGGACGUAGCGAAAGUGUUAAGUACAGCGCCUGGGGAGUAUGGUCGCAAGGCAA
rnacentral:rRNA from 1 species